GCUAGGGGUUGGCUCAGUGGCUAUAGAGCGUAGGUCUCGUAAUCGAAAGGUUGCAAGAUCGAAUCCCGCAGUGGCU
rnacentral:tRNA from 1 species